ensembl:lncRNA LINC01333 long intergenic non-protein coding RNA 1333
AGUGCUUCUGUUGAGCACAGUGGUCACUCAAAAGAGGCAGAGCUGUUGAAUUCAGCUGUCUGUGGAGAAAUUAUACCAACCACAUGGUUAGACAGAAGGAAUACAAUAUAUUGCUUAAUUUGUAUCUGAAAGCUAAGCAACAUGGAAAAAAAUCAAGCAUGCUCAGUCACUUCCAUGAGGACAAACGAAGACACUUCAAGAUAAUGAUUGAUACACCUCCCAUGCCCCACCUCUCACCCAGGACAGGAUCGAAGUGUUGGGGGAGCCACAACCUGCUUCACCUAGAAAGAGGACAUUGACAUGGAUCUGCCAGCUUUCUAAGACUUUCCCCAGAUUCAAGUCCAGUCACAUCAAGUUGCCUUAUUAAAGGGUCUGCCCACUCAAAAGGAGAAAGUGCAAAAGAUGCUCAGCAAGGGUAGCAAACGCAGUCAGAUGAUACUUCCUGACAGCAUCCAAGAGCAAGUCUCACCACCACAUCUGUCAAUAAAAAAGAAAACAAG